rnacentral:lncRNA from 1 species
GAUUUACUUCAAUACUUAAUUGAUAGGUGGUGCCGCUGUUUUGUCACCUCACCCAGUUUUACAUUUUAAAAAUAGAUACCUUUUCAUAAAUUGCGUAGAAAAAAAACAUUACCUUUUCCCAUAAUGAUUUGGUUUCAUGUGGUUUUAUGUAAAAGAGUAAUACUUAAGUGUCAAAAGAGAAAAAUUGGUUGAUAAAGACACAGCGGGAACACCAAACAAGUUGACAGUCAAAGAAGUUAUGGGAUCUUUAUUGUCCUUAUCAUAUAUUUCUGAUAGUUUUCUUAACAUUUCACUUAUUCAAGCUUAAAAAGGUGUAAAUAG